AAAAAUAUAUUUAUCGAAUUCUCCAUGUGAUCUAUAUUAAAGGGCACUUCAUUAAAUAUAACGCUUUUAAAAUUCCGUAUUGGUGCACAAUUUUGUACUUAAAAUAUCAAAAGGACGCAAAAGGCGCUUAUUUCGUGGAACGACCCAAGUAGAAUUUGAUUGUUUUAAUUUUUAUCCCUGGACAGAAUGUGAGUGUGUGUGAAUGUAUGUAGCCAUGUCUAAAUGUGUCCAUGUAACCAAUGACGACUGUCUCUCAUGGUGAGCUAAAAAGCACAUCAUUCAGCAAAUGAAAAACUGAAACAAAACAUUGCCUUCUGUUUUAGGGAAUCUGUUUUUACAGACAGUACUUUGUCGUUUUAGGAUUUGUGGUACUACACUAGUUUGCGCUUUCAUUCUGAAUGCUGUGUGGCUUUCUGUCUGCCUGUCUGACUGCAGAAAGUUUGUACUGUGCGUCUCAUCUAAUGUACUUAUUAUCCUUGAAGGAUGUUUUUGUACAUGUUAAAAAGUCUAACUGAUGCUUUUAUCCAAAGCAAUGUACUGCGCUGAUAAUACAACACCACACACUGGUCCUCGGUUGUUUUUCUGUAUCCGUGUUGGUUGAAUACAACACAUUACUAAAGAUGUGAUGAUUCAGUAGAGGCAGAAACCACAUACUGUAUGUGUUAAUAUCAUUCCAUUAACAAACCACCAUGUCUUAUUUCAUGUCUCUCCCCCAUUCUGGCAUUGGGACUGCAAUACUGGUAUUGGACAGCAGGGGGAGACACUUCAUCUUGGUAGAUCAUUACCUGUACUGUAAUGGUUUUUGCACAGACUUCCACUAUAUUGAACUGGGUGGGUGUGUGUGCGCGUGCACAUGUAUAUCACUUCACUUCUGUCCCUAUGACUGUGUCGGUUACAAAACUGGUUAAAUCCUUUCCCAGUCGUUGAUAUGUCCUGCUAAUGUCUUUUGUGGAUACUUUUCCAUCACAGAUAGACAAAUGUCCCAGUGUAGUUGUAUUGUAGGAGAGCUAAACAAAGGACAAGGUUGUAUUAGGCUAGCUUAGCAGUGCUGUCCAUUGAACAUUGGGAACUAUACGUCUUUCAGGGGUGUUUCCUCAACUGUGUUGUAAUGCUGUGAUACCACUGUAGUGAAGUGAGAGGGAAGGAAGAGUUGUUUUGUAACGGAGGUGAGAAUGUGAAAUAUGGUGCCACUUCUGAGAUGUACUUUGGUUUUUGUUCAACGUGCCUUUUUGAUGAACAAUCAUUUGGUUCCAUAAAGCAUGUUAAGGUGGUAACUUUCUCUCUAGGUCCGGGCUGGUAACAUUGUGAAUGGUAUCUUGCCACGUGCACUAUAGCUCUUUACUAUGACGGUACAAGGCAGCAUACAGGACCUGGUACUCUUAGUGUCCCUAAACUCCUUACAUUAGAUGAAAGAAAAUUGCACAUUUUUCAUUGAACUCCCUAAUGACUCUGGACUUGGGCUUUUUGAAGGAUAAUUGUUUGUGUGUGUGGGCGUGUGUGAGUAUGGUCCUGUUGUGUGAGCAAGCAUGCAUCCCUCCCUCCCUCUUCUCUUUAUAUCUAUGCAGUGACCAAGUACAUUAAAGUCCAUAUAAGUUGGAAAGACUUAAAAUGGCUAUACUACCUAUGUGUGUGUUUGGGUGGAACCUGAAUUUUCAGUCCAAUACUAUCCCUUUCAGCCUUAUAGCACUUGGCAAAAGGCAGUUCAUCUUAUUUUGUAAUAUUUUCCAAGGUGUGAAUUAAAAACCUGAUGGUUACUCAAAGAUGGAACAAUUUGUCCUUUGUUUUUUUUCCUGAACUGCAGAUUUUGUCAUUGAAUAGAAUACUAAAAUAAGAAUUGUAUAAACAUACAAUGGACAUUUCUGAAGAUUAAAACAUUUAAAGUUGCAGUUUCAUCAGCGAUUUUAAAUUAAAUGUAUUCUUCAUCCAUAUAUUUACUUUACCAUUAUGCAGCCUUGAGAUUUCACCUUCUACCUUCGUUUGACUGAAGCUAAACUGGUUCUGCAUUCUAGCUGUAACCCAGAGAGUAGAAUAGCGGAAAACCAAGGUAACAUUAUCCUUCAGCUGCAUAGAUGUCCUUCAAACAGUUAUUCUUUAUACCAGGAGACGCAUUUUGUUGUCUUUGGUCCCUUGUCCUGAUAUUUCUUCAUAUGAAAUGUGAACAGUGGGGCUAUCUUCAAUAUACAGGGUGUGUUUGUGUAGUUGUUUGUCUCUUGCAUAUACCUGUGAUGUCGCCUAAAGUUCGUUGUACAUCCUGACCAAAAGGCACUCCUACUUUUGAUAAAGGGUUUAUCAAAUUAGGUUUGGGUGUGAUGUAUUCUAUAGGUGUGCAGGUAAAGCCAUGUCCAUGCAAAUACUGGUAAAACCAGAAAAGAAGACCUGAUAUUGCAAAAUGUUUAUAUUUUGUCAUCCUUUUAUGUCAUAUACUGUAAAAAUAUAAGUACAAUUUCAAAAGGAAGGGUUAGACCAUUUAGGAUCGUUUGAGUACAUCAGUUAUGCAGUGCCUAGCAAAGUAUUCAGACCCCUUGGAUUUCUGUGUUAUAAAGUGUGAUUUAAAAUGGAUUUAGUUGUCUUUAUUGUAAAAAUCUACACAAAAUGCUCUGUUAAAGUGGAAGAAAAAUUCUAUAUUCUUUUAAAGAUGAAUACAAAAUUCAUAACUAAAAUGUAGUUGUUGCGUAAGUAUUCAGAAUCUUUGUUUAGGAAAUCCUAAAUGAUUUCAGGAGUACAAUUUGGUUUAACAAAUCACAUAAGUUAUAUGGACUC
rnacentral:lncRNA from 1 species